rnacentral:lncRNA from 1 species
GUUGCUUGAAGCAUGGACAACUCUGGCCUGACAUGGUCCCUGGCUCGUACCUGUGACAGGACACUGAGGAUGCUGUGGUACCUGGAGUGAUGCCAGACUGCAGAGGCCACCUGGUGACAUGAGGAGAGAUUCAACUUAACAUGGUGAGGAUGGCAGAGUAGAGCUAAAGUGGAAAAAGCAUUUCCCUGAUGAAUUUAAGAAGCUACUGAAUAAAUAUGUCUGGAAGUACCUAACUCUGGACUAAGUGGCUUUAUUUGGUUAAAUUGAGAUUCUACUUCUUGUAGCCAGAAGCAAACUUAUUGUUUAAUUCUCAAUAUUAAGAAGUCCUAAUGAUU